rnacentral:rRNA from 1 species
CGUUAGCGGCGCGCCUAACACAUGCAAGUCGCACGAGAAAGGGCUUCGGCCCCGGUACAGUGGCGCACGGGUGAGUAACACGUGGGUAAUCUGCCUUCGGGUGGGGGAUAACAUUCCGAAAGGAGUGCUAAUACCGCAUAAGACCACGAGCUGUACGCAGCACGGGGUAAAAGCUGGCCUCUUCAUGAAAGCUAGCACUUGAGGAUGAGUCCGCGGCCCAUCAGCUAGUUGGUAGUGUAAAAGACUACCAAGGCUAAGACGGGUAGCUGGUCUGAGAGGAUGAUCAGCCACACUGGAACUGAGACACGGUCCAGACUCCUACGGGAGGCAGCAGUGGGGAAUCUUGCGCAACGGGCGAAAGCCUGACGCAGCGACGCCGCGUGGGUGAUGAAGGCCUUCGGGUUGUAAAGCCCUGUG